rnacentral:sRNA from 1 species
AGGCAGAAGCAGGAGAUCUCUGUGAGUUUGAGGACCUCUUCUUCCUUGGGUGGUCUGUGCUAUAACAUACUUUAAGCUCGCUACCUCCAGGGCACCUCAGAAGGCUGGUUGGCACUUAGCAGGGCAGGGCUAGAUUUGAAGUCCCAAAUCCUGGUCCUUAUUGGACCAGGGCUCCUGUUUCUUACCGUAGAGAACGUCUCCACCCACUGGCUAACAGGACCUCUAUGUGAAGUGCCUUUCUCAGCAGUGUGAGCUGAGAUGCUCUUGUGUAGCUGUUGGAAAGGGCCCAGAGAGAAACUUUGGAAGGAGAACAGCAACGCUGUCCUCAGAUCACAGCAACCUCCAGAACUUAUGUGGUCCACAGCACAACUCUAAGAAGAGCUGUACUUCCAGGUUUUGCAGAAGCAUUACUGACUAAACAGACGGACACAGGUAGCUGUUUCCCACACCGUUCUGCAACUGUUGAGGUCCGUGUCAGCCGCUCCCUCUGGACAGACUUCCCUCCUCACAAACCUUGUCUUCCCAGGCCAUGACAUGCAUAAUGCAUUGAGAACUCCUUUCCAGUCUCCAUUCCAGUUCCUAGGAGUGAGAUCAGGUGACCCCACACAUGUACAGCCAUUGUUCUCUCACCCCACCACUGUCUUGGCCUCCUCUCUUCACCAAUCUCCCCAGAGAGCCUUUCUUUGGAGACUGGGGGCCUCUUUGCCUCAGGCACUAGUUCUCCCUCCCAGAGCACGCUUCACUAAGUUCACAAAGUUGCAAUCGAUGAGAAGCAAGCCAGUAAGCAGUGCUCUUCCGUGGCUUCUGCUUCAGUUCCUAUCUCCAUGUUCCUGCCCUGACUCGCCUCAGUGAUGGACUGUUAUCUGAAAGUGUAAUAAACCAUUUCUUCCACUUUUAAGCUA